rnacentral:lncRNA from 1 species
UGAAAGCUCUCAACUUAAUACGGAAAGAAAAAAAUCGUAUGCUGAGGUUACUUUUAUUACAGUAUACUGUUAUAAGUGUUCUAUUUUAUUAUUAGUUAUUGUUGUUAAUCUCUUACUGUGCCUAAUUUAUAAAUUAAACUUCAUCAUAGGUAUGUAUGCAUAGGAAAAAAUAUAGUACUAUUCGUGGUUUCAGGCAUCCACUGGGGGUCUUGGAAUGUAUCACGCCCAUAAGGAGGGACUACUGCAGUGUGAUGGUGAAGGUUUAGGGAGGGUGAGAAAGACAGCAGAGGCUGGUCUGAGAGUAGGGCAUCUGAUUUUCAGAUUUCAGAGAGGGGCAGUUGGGGAUGACACAGCCUAGGCUGUGGUCAUGAGAGCUGGUGGCUGAGGUGGAGUGAAAGGUCAUUGGAGAUGAAGUCAAGGAUCUGAGUAGCCCUGUGCUGCAUGGGUCCCCCAGGAGGACAGCAGGGUCUGAGGUGGAGAAGUAGCCAGAAGUGAGCUUCCAGAAUGAGGGAAAGUGCAUUCGGGAGACUAGACAAAGAGGAGGUCUGUGGGCCGCAGAGGUCACGGGGCUACACAAAGGCUGGCCAAGAAAGGAAGCUGACCACAACUGUCCCGAGGAACGGCGGUGGGGGGGGUGUCCUCCAGGCAGGGCCAGGUUUAGUGAAGGUAGGAGGUGCAGGGUCGGAGUGUUCCUUGGAGGGGGCUCCUGGGAGUAUAGGGGGAAGGGAACGGGAAGCCAGAAUCACGGAAGGAUAGAUGUGGCCGUGUCUGAGACGGAGGAUGUGAGGCUGGGGUUGGCUGGCCUCCAAGCUCCCAGGGAGCCUCUACUGAGCAUCUGUGAGCGCCGGUCACCAGGCUGAAAGCUGUGCUUCACUCCAAGCAAACAGGCACUUGGAGACGAGGAAUUGUGAGACUCUGCCUCGCGUGGGAAAUGCCUGCCCACUCGGGGAGGGCCCAGGCCUCUUUCCCGAGCUGGCUUUGGAGCAGAAUCUCCCUUGGGAUUCCUGGGACCCCUGCUGCCCCGCUGCGAGACCCUGGACACUCCGGAGACCUCUGUGUCCUUUUCCUAAGAGGGCCGGCCGAGGGGGCGGGCCCUGCAGCCUUUGUUGCCGGCGGACCGAGCGCAGCCGCCUGCCGGGCCAGAGGCUGGGCCGGGACGCCGCGAGUUGCACGCGGGCCGGGCAUGUCCUGAGCCGGACCCGGGACCGGGCAGGAGCGGACCGGACGGACGAGAGCGUGCGCGGGGGGUCGCCCGGCGACCGCCUGACCCUGGCCAUGCCCAGCGACCCGAGUCCCCGCAGUCCCGCGCAGCUGCUGCGGCCCCUGCUCCUGCUCCUCUGCGUUCUGGCGCCCGGCGCCCUCGGAUCCGCACUAGGUAGGUGGCCGCCUCUUUGCGGCCGGCCGGCCCUGCCAUU